CGAGUUAAUUACCAGGGAAAGUCAAGGAGAUAAGCAACGGUUUGUGGUGAGCCACGCCUUUGCUCGUCUGUGUCCAAGCCUGUGGUCUGUGACCCUAAGAUGAUCCGUUUCCUGGUUGGGGCACAGCACAAGAACUGAGGAUCUAGAAGGCGCCUCAAGUCCCAUCAGACACACUCAGGUAGUGAAGAAGCCGUCACCCCGGUCUGUCUGCACAAGACAGAAUUCGUACCAUCUUCCUUGACACAAACGAAUUCCCAGAAGAGCAUCCUUGAUCAGGAGAAAUGCUAAAUAAAACAUCAUAGGUUUGAUGAGGAGUUCUUCAAGCUGGCCACUGUGGUGUGAUCAAACAUUGUGGCAGACGUGAAGGAAAAUCCAGUCUUCAGUGUUUGUUUAGGUGUGGACCUCCCUGAGUAAGUCCCCUCCUCCCUCCCCACAAAGCAUACUUGUUAAUAGCCAGUCCUUACAUGUUCUGAGAAAUGUCUUUGAGAAAGACUUAUGAAGCA